rnacentral:rRNA from 1 species
AGAUUGAACGCUGGCGGCAGGCCUAACACAUGCAAGUCGAGCGGUAGAGAGGUGCUUGCAUCUCUUGAGAGCGGCGGACGGGUGAGUAAUGCCUAGGAAUCUGCCUAGUGGUGGGGGAUAACGUUCGGAAACGGACGCUAAUACCGCAUACGUCCUACGGGAGAAAGCGGGGGACCUUCGGGCCUCGCGCCAUUAGAUGAGCCUAGGUCGGAUUAGCUAGUUGGUGAGGUAAUGGCUCACCAAGGCGACGAUCCGUAACUGGUCUGAGAGGAUGAUCAGUCACACUGGAACUGAGACACGGGUCCAGACUCCGUACGGGAGGCAGCAGUGGGGAAUAGUUGGACAAGUGGGACGAAAGCCCGUGAUCCGAGCCAUCGCCGCGUGGUGUGAAGGAAGGU